rnacentral:pre_miRNA from 1 species
GUAGUACUCCCUCCGUCCGGAAAUACUUGUCAAUAAAAUGAAUAAAAGGGGAUGUAUCUAGAUGUAUUUUAGUUCUAGAUACACCCCUUUUUGUCCAUUUUGAUGACAAGUUUUUUCGGACGGAGGGAGUAAUAU